GGAGAGGUGGCCGAGUGGCUUAAGGCGAGGGUUUGCUAAACCCUUGGUGACGCGAGUCGCCGCGUGGGUUCGAAUCCCACCCUCUCCG
rnacentral:tRNA from 1 species